UCCGGUGAUUAUGUCAGCAGGGACACACCCGUUCCCAUCCCGAACACGGAAGUUAAGCCUGUCGGAGCCGAUGGUACUGCGCGGGUAGCUGCGUGGGAGAGUAGGUAGUUGCCGGAU
rnacentral:rRNA from 1 species